rnacentral:rRNA from 1 species
UACGUAGGUGGCGAGCGUUGUCCGGAUUUAUUGGGCGUAAAGGGAACGUAGGCGGUCUUUUAAGUCUGAUGUGAAAGCCUUCGGCUUAACCGAAGUAGUGCAUUGGAAACUGGAAGACUUGAGUGCAGAAGAGGAGAGUGGAACUCCAUGUGUAGCGGUGAAAUGCGUAGAUAUAUGGAAGAACACCAGUGGCGAAAGCGGCUCUCUGGUCUGUAACUGACGCUGAGGUUCGAAAGCGUGGGUAGCAAACAGG